GGAGGGAUGGGUGAGUGGUUUAAACCACCGGUCUUGAAAACCGGAAACCGCAAGGUUCGUGGGUUCGAAUCCCACUCCCUCCGCCA
rnacentral:tRNA from 1 species